CCCACAGGGGCCUCCUUUGGCUUAGUCCAGAGUGACACCACCAGGCUAUCAGACACCUGGGAAACUGCUCCCCCCAGUUCCAGGGUAUCCGCUCUCUGGCUGGUGUCCUGAACUGGCCCCUGAGUUGGCCCG
rnacentral:lncRNA from 1 species